AUAAUGGCAACGUCCACAACUUCGUCAGAAAAACUCUACAAAAAUCGUCUGCUUAAAUUUUUUCUUUGUCAUCACACAUCACUUUACAAUGACUACAUCUAAAUGCCUUUAACAGAAAAAUCGGUAGUUUUAAAAAGGAAAAAUUUUAUAGACGGGGCAAGUUUGCAUAUCUUUGGCACUGUUUGCGUCUAUUAACGGAAGUCUAGAGCCAUUUCAAUAAUAAUACAGAAAUUCAGAACAGUAAAACAAAAAAUUCCAGUGUAGAAACUUCUAUUUGAAAUGUAAGUGGAGAUUUUACGGAGUGAAGAGAUGCCAAAGUUGUAUAAAAAAACUUAUAAGAUAGGAUUUGAUGCCAGUGUCCAAGUUACUGCUUUCACAUUCAGUGUGAUUCUCCUGCAUUCUAAAGCCUGCAAAGCUGACUCAGGUUGGCUUCUAUGAAACCAAUGACAAGAACAAGCAAAAGCAUGGAGGACAUGAGUUUUCUUAAAAGGAUGUGAGGGCAAGAACAAAAUGCCAUACCCAUAAGCAUUGCAUUUGCUUCAUUUAACUAGAUAUUCCCCAUAUGAUUGUAUCCCUAGCGGUUGAUGCCAGCUAAUUUCCUAAGAGACAUCGUGACGUCGCUUCUUGAUACUGGCAUUUUCUGUAACGCAUGUUUUUCUUAAUGGUAAAAGUAAGUAUCACAUGGGUGUAAUGACUAUUUGGUUCCCAAAGGUCACUCCUAUCCCCUCUCAUGCCAACCUUGCAGUACAUGCUACAGCUUAAGAGAUAUCUUCGACCUUCGCUGGCUCGUGUUGGUGACCUUGCUCUACCCCUUUAAAACUGUGGCCGUUCACAGUUUCUCAGUCAGUCUGCAGUUAGAGAUUGGACGAGGUAGUCUUACCAACGAACACCAGAACUUAAAGUCUACCAUUUUCAAUUAUGAUAUCUUAUUGUAAUAACAGCAGUAAAUAGGUUGGAUGGACUCGUAUAUGCUCUUCCAACCUAUCAACUACUGGUGAUAUACAACAAGAUACAUGGAAUUGUUUUCCCUUCGAGAUGAAGUAUAAUCGAUUGGAAAUUCAUUGAAAUUUGUAAUCGUGAAUUUUUUUAAUGGGGCGUUUUUGUUCCACAUUUGCUCAUAAAGAUGGGCUACAAACGUUUCCAAACAGGGUGCUUUUUCUAACUUUGAAAAUCAAGUUAUUUGAACCCAACGGCAAUGGCUGGUCUCAUCAAGAUAAGACAAAAUGUCUUGCGGCUAAGACGAAAUUUUUUCGUAAUUUAUCAAUUCUACCAGAAAUGACAUGUUGUAGUGUUAAUGCAGCGCAAGCUGGUCUCAUCAAGAUAGGACAAAAUGUCUUGCGGCAAAAAAUUUCAUGAACACAUUGUUGUAAACGAGUGAUAGAGGGCACUGAUUGCGCAAGCCCCACGUUGGGCGCCAACGGAGAGCAGAGCCGUGUGUAAGAUCGCGCGGGACGGUUGUGUUUAGGUACUAGAGCGUGAUCUCGUAUCCUGUCGUGUUGUAUCUUGUAAUACAAGUGUGAAACCGUU